rnacentral:rRNA from 1 species
CUACGGGGGGCACCAGUGGGGAAUAUUGGACAAUGGGGGAAACCCUGAUCCAGCAAUGCCGCGUGUGUGAAGAAGGCCUGCGGGUUGUAAAGCACUUUCGGUUGGGAGGACUGCUUCUAGCACUAAUAUUGUUGGAAGUUGACGUUACCUUCAGAAGAAGCACCGGCUAACUCCGUGCCAGCAGCCGCGGGAAUACGGAGGGUGCAAGCGUUAAUCGGAAUUACUGGGCGUAAAGCGCGCGUAGGCGGCUAGAUCAGUCGGGUGUGAAAGCCCCGGGCUUAACCUGGGAACUGCAUCCGAUACUGUCUAGCUUGAGUACAGGAGAGGAGAGUGGAAUUCCACAUGUAGCGGUGAAAUGCGUAGAUAUGUGGAGGAACACCAAUGGCGAAGGCAGCUCUCUGGCCUGAUACUGACGCUGAGGUGCGAAAGCGUGGGGAGCAAACAGAAUUAGAUACCCCGGUAGUC